rnacentral:rRNA from 1 species
UACGGGGGGGGCAAGCGUUGUUCGGAAUUACUGGGCGUAAAGGGCUCGUAGGCGGCCAACUAAGUCAGACGUGAAAUCCCUCGGCUUAACCGGGGAACUGCAUCUGAUACUGGAUGGCUUGAGAUUGGGAGAGGGAUGCGGAAUUCCAGGUGUAGCGGUGAAAUGCGUAGAUAUCGGGAGGAACACCAGUGGCGAAGGCGACUACCUGGCCUGUUCUUGACGCUGAGGCGCGAAAGCUAGGGGAGCAAACGGG